UGGGUAACCUGCCCAUCAGAAGGGGAUAACACUUGGAAACAGGUGCUAAUACCGUAUAACAAUCGAAACCGCAUGGUUUCGUUUUGAAAGGCGCUUUACGGUGCCGCUGAUGGAUGGACCCGCGGUGCAUUAGCUAGUUGGUGAGGUAACGGCUCACCAAGGCCACGAUGCAUAGCCGACCUGAGAGGGUGAUCGGCCACAUUGGGACUGAGACACGGCCCAAACUCCUACGGGAGGCAGCAGUAGGGAAUCUUCGGCAAUGGACGAAAGUCUGACCGAGCAACGCCGCGUGAGUGAAGAAGGUUUUCGGAUCGUAAAACUCUGUUGUUAGAGAAGAACAAGGGUGAGAGUAACUGUUCACCCCUUGACGGUAUCUAACCAGAAAGCCACGGCUAACUACGUGCCAGCAGCCGCGGUAAUACGUAGGUGGCAAGCGUUGUCCGGAUUUAUUGGGCGUAAAGCGAGCGCAGGCGGUUUCUUAAGUCUGAUGUGAAAGCCCCCGGCUCAACCGGGGAGGGUCAUUGGAAACUGGGAGACUUGAGUGCAGAAGAGGAGAGUGGAAUUCCAUGUGUAGCGGUGAAAUGCGUAGAUAUAUGGAGGAACACCAGUGGCGAAGGCGGCUCUCUGGUCUGUAACUGACGCUGAGGCUCGAAAGCGUGGGGAGCAAACAGGAUUAGAUACCCUGGUAGUCCACGCCGUAAACGAUGAGUGCUAAGUGUUGGAGGGUUUCCGCCCUUCAGUGCUGCAGCUAACGCAUUAAGCACUCCGCCUGGGGAGUACGACCGCAAGGUUGAAACUCAAAGGAAUUGACGGGGGCCCGCACAAGCGGUGGAGCAUGUGGUUUAAUUCGAAGCAACGCGAAGAACCUUACCAGGUCUUGACAUCCUUUGACCACUCUAGAGAUAGAGCUUCCCCUUCGGGGGCAAAGUGACAGGUGGUGCAUGGUUGUCGUCAGCUCGUGUCGUGAGAUGUUGGGUUAAGUCCCGCAACGAGCGCAACCCUUAUUGUUAGUUGCCAUCAUUUAGUUGGGCACUCUAGCAAGACUGCCGGUGACAAACCGGAGGAAGGUGGGGAUGACGUCAAAUCAUCAUGCCCCUUAUGACCUGGGCUACACACGUGCUACAAUGGGAAGUACAACGAGUCGCGAAGUCGCGAGGCUAAGCUAAUCUCUUAAAGCUUCUCUCAGUUCGGAUUGUAGGCUGCAACUCGCCUACAUGAAGCCGGAAUCGCUAGUAAUCGCGGAUCAGCACG
rnacentral:rRNA from 1 species